GAUGAACGCUGGCGGCGUGCUUAACACAUGCAAGUCGAACGGGAAACCUUUUAUUGAAGCUUCGGCAGAUUUAGCUGGUUUCUAGUGGCGGACGGGUGAGUAACGCGUGGGUAACCUGCCUUAUACAGGGGGAUAACAGUCAGAAAUGGCUGCUAAUACCGCAUAAGCGCACAGAGCUGCAUGGCUCAGUGUGAAAAACUCCGGUGGUAUAAGAUGGACCCGCGUUGGAUUAGCUGGUUGGUGGGGUAACGGCCCACCAAGGCGACGAUCCAUAGCCAGCCUGAGAGGGUGAACGGCCACAUUGGGACUGAGACACGGCCCAGACUCCUACGGGAGGCAGCAGUGGGGAAUAUUGCACAAUGGGGGAAACCCUGAUGCAGCGACGCCGCGUGAAGGAAGAAGUAUCUCGGUAUGUAAACUUCUAUCAGCAGGGAAGAUAAUGACGGUACCUGACUAAGAAGCCCCGGCUAACUACGU
rnacentral:rRNA from 1 species